rnacentral:rRNA from 1 species
UACGUAGGGUGCAAGCGUUAAUCGGAAUUACUGGGCGUAAAGCGUGCGCAGGCGGCUAUCCAAGUCAGUGGUGAAAGCCCGGAGCUCAACUCCGGAAUUGCCAUUGAAACUGUUUAGCUCGAGUACGAGAGAGGUGAGUGGAAUUCCCAGUGUAGAGGUGAAAUUCGUAGAUAUUGGGAAGAACACCGGUGGCGAAGGCGGCUCACUGGCUCGUAACUGACGCUCAUGCACGACAGCGUGGGGAUCAAACAGG